GCCCCUUUCUCCCAUUCCUACUCCCAAGUCCCACUAACUCUACCAGGUCCCAGAUACCCAUGCAGACUUAAUAAAAUACAUCUCGAUACACAUAAUGCUGCUGCACAAACCACAAAGAGUUAAUUCGGGGAAGAAAAAAUUGUUUGCUUGGCCUGAGCACCAAUUAGUGUCCACAUCUCUCAAAAUGAACACAGAUCUACAUCUAUCCAUGAAAGCCCAAUGCAUGGGGGCAACAUCAAUUAGCAGUGGGCCAACACCCUCAAAGGAGGUCAGUAGCACCAAGAGAAGGUCAUGCUAACCAUGUGGUCCACGCACUGAGUGUUGUAAAACCUGGUGUGACACCAUAGGUCCAGGUC
ensembl:lncRNA